AUUGCUUUGAGGCCUUUUUUGGCUAAGAUCUAGUAUAGUAUCUGUUCUUAACAGUUUCAUAUCUAAUAAUCCCCUAUCUGGGGACCGUGUAUUUAAUAUAUUUUUGGAAUCUGCAGUUGGCAAAAAGGGCUUGCCCUAUCCUCUCCAUGUUUUGAUCUAAUAUGGCAAUAUUUUCCGGUGAAGUACAUCGCCU